GGAGACUGAAAAGCAGUACUGGAGGAAACACUUCAUUACUAACCAUGCCUGACGUGACAUGCUGGUGGGAGAGAUUAUUAUUCCAAAAAAGAAGAAUUCACAACAGCCAGAACUGUUCCUGGUAGGAUUCAUCCCACGUGACUCUGCACAUCAUUGGAGAAAGUGC
rnacentral:lncRNA from 12 species